AGCAGCCGCGGUAAUUCCAGCUCCAAUAGCGUAUAUUAAAGUUGUUGCAGUUAAAAAGACUCGUAGUUGAAUUUCGGGGUUAGCAGGUCGGUCGUGCCAUCGGUAUGAACUGGUCUCGCUGAUCCCUCCCUCUUGACGAACUGUGAUGCCAUUAAUUUGGUGUCGCAGGGAAUCAGGACUGUUACUUUGAAAAAUUAGAGUGUUUAAAGCAGGCUCACGCUUGAAUACAUUAGCAUGGAAUAAUGAAAUAGGACGUUUGAUCCUAUUUUGUUGGCUUCUAGGAUUGACGUAAUGAUUAAUAGGGAUAGUUGGGGGCAUUAGUAUUCAAUUGUCAGAGGUGAAAUUCUUGGAUUUAUUGAAGACUAACUACUGCGAAAGCAUUUGCCAAGGAUGUUUUCAUUAAUCAAGAACGAAAGUUAGGGGAUCGAAGACGAUCAGAUACCGUCGUAGUCUUAACCAUAAACUAUGCCGACUAGGGAUCGGAUGAUGUUAAUUUUUAAUGACUCAUUC
rnacentral:rRNA from 1 species